rnacentral:rRNA from 1 species
AUUGAACGCUGGCGGCAGGCCUAACACAUGCAAGUCGAGCGGAUGAAGGGAGCUUGCUCCUGGAUUCAGCGGCGGACGGGUGAGUAAUGCCUAGGAAUCUGCCUGGUAGUGGGGGAUAACGUCCGGAAACGGGCGCUAAUACCGCAUACGUCCUGAGGGAGAAAGUGGGGGAUCUUCGGACCUCACGCUAUCAGAUGAGCCUAGGUCGGAGUAGCUAGUUGGUGGGGUGAAGGCCUACCAAGGCGACGAUCCGUAACUGGUCUGAGAGGAUGAUCAGUCACACUGGAACUGAGACACGGUCCAGACACCUACGGGAGGCAGCAGUGGGGAAGAUUGGACAAUGGGCGAAAGCCUGAUCCUGCCAUGCCGCGUGUGUGAAGAAGGUCUUCGGAUUGUAAAGCACUUUAAGUUGGGAGGAAGGGCAGUAAGUUAAUACCUUGCUGUUUUGACGUUACCAACAGAAUAAGCACCGGCUAACUUCGU